CGGAGAGACAAUGGAUAAUAGGAAGAUGGGAAAAAGGUUUGAGGGGAAGGUCGCCAUUGUUACUGCUUCAACUCAAGGUAUCGGCUUCCAAAUUGCUCAGCGUCUCGCCUUGGAAGGUGCCUCCGUCGUUAUUUCUUCCCGUAGACAGAAAAACGUUGAUGAGGCAAUUGAAAAACUCAAAGCUCAAGGACUUGAAGUGUUAGGG
rnacentral:misc_RNA from 1 species